GCUGGUGUGGCGAAAAUGGUAAACGCAGGAGGGCUCGCAAUCUUCCGGGCGCAAGCCCUUGUGGGUUCGAAUCCCACCACCAGCA
rfam:Gemmatimonadetes bacterium 13_1_40CM_69_22 13_1_40cm_scaffold_1033, whole genome shotgun sequence.